CGUUCUGGCAUUACGGCAGGCUGAUACAAUCAUGUCUGGUCCUGUGAUGAUACCAAGGGCCAACAAUGGGUCAGGGUGAAAUACAAACCAUGCUGGGGUAGUUUGAGGUCAGUUAAGUAGCAAACCAUGCUGGGGUAGUUUGAGGUCAGUUAAGUAGAAAACCAUGCUGGGGUAGUUUGAGGUCAGUUAAGUAGAAAACCAUGCUGGGGUAGUUUGAGGUCAGUUAAGUAGAAAACCAUGCUGGGGUAGUUUGAGGUCAGUUAAGUAGAAAACCAUGCUGGGGUAGUUUGAGGUCAGUUAAGUAGAAAACCAUGCUGGGGUAGUUUGAGGUCAGUUAAGUAGAAAACCAUGCUGGGGUAGUUUGAGGUCAGUUAAGUAGAAAACCAUGCUGGGGUAGUUUGAGGUCAGUUAAGUAGAAAACCAUGCUGGGGUAGUUUGAGGUCAGUUAAGUAGAAAACCAUGCUGGGGUAGUUUGAGGUCAGUUAAGUAGAAAACCAUGCUGGGGUAGUUUGAGGUCAGUUAAGUAGAAAACCAUGCUGGGGUAGUUUGAGGUCAGUUAAGUAGAAAACCAUGCUGGGGUAGUUUGAGGUCAGUUAAGUAGAAAACCAUGCUGGGGUAGUUUGAGGUCAGUUAAGUAGAAAACCAUGCUGGGGUAGUUUGAGGUCAGUUAAGUAGAAAACCAUGCUGGGGUAGUUUGAGGUCAGUUAAGUAGAAAACCAUGCUGGGGUAGUUUGAGGUCAGUUAAGUAGAAAACCAUGCUGGGGUAGUUUGAGGUCAGUUAAGUAGAAAACCAUGCUGGGGUAGUUUGAGGUCAGUUAAGUAGAAAACCAUGCUGGGGUAGUUUGAGGUCAGUUAAGUAGAAAACCAUGCUGGGGUAGUUUGAGGUCAGUUAAGUAGAAAACCAUGCUGGGGUAGUUUGAGGUCAGUUAAGUAGAAAACCAUGCUGGGGUAGUUUGAGGUCAGUUAAGUAGAAAACCAUGCUGGGGUAGUUUGAGGUCAGUUAAGUAGAAAACCAUGCUGGGGUAGUUUGAGGUCAGUUAAGUAGAAAACCAUGCUGGGGUAGUUUGAGGUCAGUUAAGUAGAAAACCAUGCUGGGGUAGUUUGAGGUCAGUUAAGUAGCAAACCAUGCUG